rnacentral:rRNA from 1 species
GUUUACAAUGCAAGUCGAACGGAAACGAAAUAGCUUGCUAUUUGGCGUCGAGUGGCGAACGGGUGAGUAACGCGUAGGAAUCUACCCAGUAGAGGGGGAUAGCCCGAAGAAAUUCGGAUUAAUACCGCAUAAUCUCUACGGAGUAAAGAAGGCCUCUUUACAAUGCUUUUACUAUUGGAUGAGCCUGCGUUAGAUUAGUUAGUUGGUAGGGUAAAAGCCUACCAAGGCGACGAUCUAUAGCUGGUUUUACGAGAAUGAUCAGCCACACUGGAACUGAGACACGGUCCAGACUCCUACGGGAGGCAGCAGUGAAGAAUAUUGGACAAUGGGGGAAACCCUGAUCCAGCAAUGUUGCGUGUGUGAAGAAGGUCCGAGGAUUGUAAAGCACUUUCAGUAAGCAAGAAAAAUGUAAAUCUAAUAGAUUUGCAUGUUGACCACUUAUAGAAGAAGCACCGGCUAACUCCGUGCCAGCAGCCGCGGUAAUACGGAGGGUGCGAGCGU